AGAGUUUGAUCCUGGCUCAGGACGAACGCUGGCGGCGUGCUUAAUGCAUGCAAGUCGAACGAAGACUCCACUAUGGGUAACCACUGUGGAAUUCUUAGUGGCGAACGGGUGAGUAACACGUGAGAAACCUGCCCCGGAGACCGGGAUAGCCCAGGGAAACCUGGAUUAAUACCGGAUACCCUCUAACGAUCGCAUGGUCGAUUGAGGAAAUGGUCCGCCGCUCCGGGAUGGUCUCGCGACCUAUCAGCUUGUUGGUGAGGUAAUGGCUCACCAAGGCAUCGACGGGUAGCUGGUCUGAGAGGACGAUCAGCCACACUGGGACUGAGACACGGCCCAGACUCCUACGGGAGGCAGCAGCAGGGAAUUUUGCACAAUGGACGAAAGUCUGAUGCAGCGACGCCGCGUGGGGGAUGAAUGCCUUCGGGUUGUAAACCCCUUUCAGGAGGGACGAAGCGAAAGUGACGGUACCUCCAGAAGAAGCCCCGGCCAACUACGUGCCAGCAGCCGCGGUAAUACGUAGGGGGCGAGCGUUGUCCGGAUUUAUUGGGCGUAAAGAGCUCGUAGGCGGCUCAACAAGUCGGUCGUGAAAGCCUGAGGCUCAACCUCAGGAUGCCGGUCGAAACUGUUGUGGCUAGGGUUCGGUAGAGGAGAGUGGAAUUCCCAGUGUAGCGGUGAAAUGCGCAGAUAUUGGGAGGAACACCAGUAGCGAAGGCGGCUCUCUGGGCCGAUACCGACGCUGAGGAGCGAAAGCUAGGGGAGCGAACAGGAUUAGAUACCCUGGUAGUCCUAGCUGUAAACGUUGGGCACUAGGUGUGGCGGACUCAUUGACGUCUGCCGUGCCGAAGCUAACGCAUUAAGUGCCCCGCCUGGGGAGUACGGUCGCAAGGCUAAAACUCAAAGGAAUUGAUGG
rnacentral:rRNA from 1 species